AGUUGUCCAGACUAGUUGCUUGGGGAGCAAGGUUGUCUGGAUGGUGUAAGUCUAACUUAAUGGCUUUGGCAGUGGCUGAAGGCGGAGGUUAAAGCAUGUCUUAGAGUGGGACAGAGUGAAGGGGCUGCGGCUCUGAAGUUUAGUUGUAGUUCAGUUGCUCACAAUUUCCAUUUUAUCUUCAACGAACUUAGGAUCCUCUUGUAGUUUGGGAGCUUAUAGAACUCUGAAAAAGGCCCAGUCCCAAGGCGCAACUUCCGCCAGCAGCUGCGCCAGCAAGAUAGCAGAAGCAGGAAGAGAGCAGGCGGAAGACACCUACCCUGGCCGGAAGACACGAAGAUCGAGAAAAAGGCCAUCCGGGUACCACGUAGCAGUUACAUCGGACUAUGACACUUCCUGUUUACAGGAGACUAUAAGACCUUUGCCCCGUCCUCACUUGGGGCUGGCCUGCACCCAGGCCCUCAUUAGAACAGCAUGUUGCUCCACACCGCCUCGUGUUGUCUGUUGGCUGCUCUCAGGGUCGAAAUGAUACAAGAACCUUACACUUACAGGUAAGGGUUUUUAAAGGCAGGAAGGCAGAGGUUACAGGUGAAGUCAUAAAUCAAUAUGUAGAGGCUGUACAUUGGUUUGACCUAAAAUGGUGGGACAUCUUGAAGUGGAGGGGCCCACAGGUCAUAGGUAGGUUCAAAUAUUUUCUGAUUCGCAAUUGGUUAAGGAAGAGAAGCUUCGUUUAAAAUCGUGAGGUUAGCAGUAAAGAAUGUUAGCUCUGGCUUGUGGGUGUGACUUUCUCCAGGCCCCUCAGGAAGAACUUUAGGAGAAAGGUCAGAGUGCAGUCCUUAGCUCCCCCUUGUCUGAGGUCUCAGUGCCAGCAGUUCCAUUUGGUGGGGGUCCAGGUUGCUGAAAAACAACUCAGGUAUACAUGUUAAGAUGUUAUCUUUAGUUUCUGCAGGGAACCAAACAUUCUGGUGAUUCUAACUCCUUGGCUAUUGUUGUAAGCUACUAUUACCUUCCCACUUAUCAAGUUGUUUAUUUACUUUUUAAGGAUACCUAGGUGCCUGGAAUUUCCCUUGAAGGAACUCAAGAUUUUCCUUUAUUUUCAUGCUCGUUGUUGGGGUGGUACUCCCAGGCGCCUGUGAGGGGUCCCUGCCCUGUUUCACUUCCCCCAAACUGUAAGUUGGAAACACUGUUCUAGAAUGAUAAGUAUCUCCAAGUGAAUCAAGUUUUCACAAUUUGUAUUCAGCAGCAGCUAAAAUGUAUUGGGAGCUUAAUAUGUUCAAGGAACUAUGCAAAAUUGCUUUAUAUGUAUUAACUAACUUAAUCCUCAUAACAGUCCUGUGAAGUAGGUGCUACCAUUGUCUCCUUCUUAUAAAUGCAGAGAGGGAAGCUUAGAUGGUUAAAAUCACUUUUUCAGGGUCACAUAUUUUCAAAGAUAGCCCCAGAUAAGUUCAGUGCAUAUCCUUGGUUAAAAACCACUGGUCUAAUUCAUCUUCCUUAUUUGUAUUUGAGGAAUUUGAGUUCCAGAUGGAAAACAAGUUACUCCUAUGCCAUAUCUAAUAUUAAAAUCUUGGCUGUCAACAUAAACUUUUUUUUUUUUUCUGUUUUCAGAGAUUUACAGAGAUAAAAGACUCUUUGAGUGGCUUGCAAUCUGAAUAGGGAGCUAGGACUUGAGCAGAAAAAACAAAUAAUAAAAAUAACUAAUGCUAUGUGGAGAAAUGAGGGGUAGCAGAAAGAAAAAAUAUUUAAUGGCGAGAGACAUCUUUAAGGUAGGCUUCAGAAUGGAGGCAAGUUUUCAAAGAAAAGCAGAACCUAGUGAAGCCAGAGAGGAGUGGGAAGUUCUCUAGUCUGGAGUAGGAGUAUGAGAAAAAGACAGGAAGGUGGGAAGACUAACAGAAGUUUGGGUUUGAUGAACAGAAACAUUCUAGUUCAGGUGAGUGUCUUUUAGGGGACAAAUAAAAGACCAUUUAUGGAAGUGGGUAGGGUUUAGAUAGUAGCCUCUUGUGCUGGACUAAGAAGUUUGUGUAUUUUCCUAUAGGAAGUGGGAAGCUAUUGAAAGUUUUACAGGAUGAGUAACUGGUUAAAAUAUUUCCAUGCCCAGUGGCUGAGUUUGAGGGUGGGGAAUUGGAUUCACUUGGUGCCUUUGGGAUCCUCCUUCAAUAGUAGUACAACUGGCUUGGAAUUAAGAGUUGGAAUGUGUGGCCCAGGGAAGCCAAUGUGGAUACCCCUGAUUUAGAUGAUAGUCCGCUUCUGCCACUUCGUUGAGCUUCAUUUACCUGAUCUGCCACAUGCAAAGGGGACAUCCUCUUCAGCUGCAAUGUAGUCUUCUGGGAUCUAAUUAUGAUGUCUCUUGGAAUCUGGCCCACAUACAAGAAUUCAAGCUGGUUUUCCAGGGUGGAGACCAUGAAGAAAUCCCAAUCGGAUUCACUGGAAUUCAUUUGUAAACAUCAUGCUAUUCGACUGUACCAUUAUGCUCCAAGACACUGAAUCUGAAAAGAUGCAUCCAGUUUUUCCAAGUGGUUUCACUACCAAGGCCAGUCUCCCCCUAUGACAGACCCAAGGAAGCUCAUUUACAACUAGAAUCUAGUCAUUUAGGGGCCUGUGUGCUCCCUGGGUGGGCCAUCUGUGCUGGUGUGAGGUUUAUCUCAUUGAAGGGAAAACCAAAGGAAUCUUCUUGAAUAUCAGCACCAGGAAGAACAGUACAAACUGGAGAAGUUGGGGCUGUACAUACUGCAAAGCAUGGCACCAACAUCUGCUUCUGCGGAGAAUCUCAGGCUACUUUUACUUAUGGCAGAAGACCAAAGGGAGCCAGCAUGGGCAGAGAUCACAUGCUGAAAGAGGAAGCAAGAGAGAAGAGGGGAGGUGCCAGAGUCUUUUUAACAACCAGCACUCAUGACAACUAAUAGAGCAAGAACUCACUCAUUACCGCGAGGACAGCACCAGGACAUUCAUGAGAGAUCCAUCCUCCUGAAUCCAAACACCUCUCAUUAGGCCCCACUUUCAACAUGGGGGAUCAAUUCAACGUGAGAUUUGGAAGGGUCAAAUAAACAAAAGUAUAGCACUGUUAAAGCUCAACAAUAAGAAAAUGAGCCUGAUUUUCAAAUGAGCAAAAGGCCUGAACAGACACCUUAUCAAAGAAGACAAACAGAUGCCAGGAGGGCAGAGCAUGUUUGAAACAGAUCGACCUACCACUUACCUGGACCUGGUACAGAAGACCAUCAACUAAAUAAAACUCCUCUACUGAAAACGGUGGAGGUGUUAACUUGAAAAGAUCUGAGAUAUGUCUAUUUGCUGGCAUAGCGUAGAUGGAAAUUAGAAUUGGAAAAUGAGAAUCAAAAUAUUAAAUAACUUAGGUCAAAAAUAAGUUGAUUCAUAGCCAGGAGGUGUCUGAGGAGACAUGAUGGCUGAAGGUAAUGUGGCAUCCUGGAUGAGAUCCGGAAUAGAAGAAAGACAUUAGACAAAAGCUAACAGAAGCUAAAUCAAGUAUGGACUUUAGUUAACAAUAAUGUGUCAUGAUUUGUUCAUUAAUUUUAACAAAUAUACCAUACUAAUAUCAGAUGUUAUUUAUAGAUGUAACUGGAUUCUGGGUGUGUGGAAAUUCUCUGGACCUUGGCAAUUCUUCCGUAAAUCUAAAACCAUUCAAAAAGAAUCAAGUUCUUUCAAAAUGAGUUAAUGACCAAUAUAGAGGUAAAUCAAUCCUCAUGAUUUCCCCACAGGCAGGAGUUUUUAAUUGGUUUGUAUCAUGGAAGCCUUUGGCAGACUGGUGAAGCAUAGCUACAUAAAAGAUGUAAGAUUAUAGAGGAAAUAUAUCCUAUUGAAAUACAGUUAUCAAAAUAUUGAGAUCAAACAGGAAGUGUAUUGAAACACAGCUCUCAAAAUAGUAAAAUAUCAAACUUGCCACAUACUAAUAUGUGUGUUAUCAUUAAUGCAUCAAAUACAUGAUCUACUGACAGACCUAUUACCUACUGUGAUUUUGGAGAAUGAUGAGUAUAAAUGACAGUUCAAAAUGCUUGCAAGUACUGAAAUAAGAUAUGGAUUUUUUUAUUUCUAUUGCUGAAAUAUUGCUAAUUCUACUGUGGUUUGUUGCCUACCUUCAUAAUGUAAGAAAAAGUUAAAUUUCAAUGAGAAGUUGUGAAAAAAACUUGUAAAUUUUUCCCAUUUAAGUUCAUAGGCCACACUGUCCUCUAUCAUCUUCUGCAUUCAACCCGCAGUCCAAGAGUUCAGAAUCCCUGGGUUAAAGGAAGUGCUUGCACUUGCCAACUCUGUAAGGAUAAUAAUCACUGAGGUUCCGUGAAAUCAGUGGUCUUCUCAGUCUUGUAUUUGUGCUUCUGUCUGGACACAGAAAGACGUGUUUGGGGAAAUGCCAUACUGUUGUGUGUUUCUCCUUCACCCUGCACAGCCUCACCUUUCUUCCCAUCUUCUCCUCCAUGUUCUGAUGUUUUUGGACCCCUUAAGAAGUUAGAGAUGAAUCUGAAUGUUCAGAGACUUUUGUUAGUCAUAACAUGAAUGUAAACCUUACUCUAGUUUGUUUAUACUCUCUUCCCUUCCUAAUUCUCUGGGCAAAAAGUUCCACAUGUAAGCUAGGUGCUUUAUAUAGGAGUGCUUUCUUUAAAUUGCUCAUAAUCUCUUCAUAUAUAUAUACAUAUAUGAAGCAGGCGAAGCUUCACAUAUAUAUAUAUAUAUAUUUUUUUUUAGAAAUAGUAAAAAACAGCACAUAUUCAAAUCAUGAUACGUAACAAUUUACUUGUUUACAUACUGUUAAUCUGUGGUCAGUUUACACCUUAUCAGUCAUGGAUACUUAAAUGUGCCUUUGAGAUGCAGCUUUCUAAAUUUAUCUCUGAUGUCCUGUCUUCCUCCCACCAAGUUAGUAGGAAAGAGAAAACUCAUGGUAUGCAAACUGUAUAUAUACCAUACAAAAAGCAUGGUAUUCUGCCCAGCCCAGAAAUAUUCAAAGACUAACAGCUUGGCAGUGCCAAGUAAAAUUUUGUAGGUAAACACUUAGAGGUUUUCCCCUAACGACUUUCUUCAUCUCUGCAUAAACUUACCUGUUGACGGUAUCUGUCAGUGCCUCCCUCCGGGCAGAGCAAUGUUGGCCUCACAAAUCAGAAUUUCUAUUUACUAAGAACUGGAGCCUGGCAACCAUUCAGCCACAAGAAACCUGAAAACAUCUACCUGCCUAAACCAAUCUUCCUUUUGACACACCAGCCGGGCGUUGCCAAACCUGGAAGCAUCGCAACUAAUGUUUUCUUUCUGAAAAACGUAAUUAAUCUACAAUGAUUAAAGUCUGACAAGAUGUCCUCAAGCCAUCCUUUAUUUUGUUUUAUUAUGAGCAACUUUGCAUAAGCAAUUUAUUAUCACAAAAUCUGAAAUUGACUAAAUGAAUUUAUGGGAGCUGGUUGGCUUGAAUCUAUUUGAUUUUGACCAUAUACUUCCAGCUAAUUACUAGUUCUCGGUAAUGCUGUCAUGUUAAAAUACAGAUAUGUGGAUUUAUAAGAGCAAACUGUUUGAUUUUCUUCCCCCCAGCUCAAGCAGAAAUUUGCCCGGGCUUGCUGAGUCCCUGCAUACUUAGAAAAACUUGCUGUUUUGCUGCCUUUUUUUGUUAUCCUGAGAUAUAAAAUAAUAUCCUUAAGUAUAAUUUUUUUUUUUUUUUUACUUUUCUGUGAUCCAGUGCUUCAGGCAUAGUAAAAGAAUGCCGUAUUUGUAAAAUCACGCUUUCGUUAGAUCUCCUGGGCAAGUUCUGUGCCAGUGGCAAACACGCUGCUCUGCGUUGCCCCUUCCCUGGUGGUUUCAGCGUCUAUAGCUGUGCAUGCAAAGCACAGUGGAGAAAUGAGGUCAGUCUGAAUCAUUCCAGCCCCUAAUCCAAAGAAAGUCCACCUUUUCUCUUCUCCCAAAAGGAGAAUUAGCAACUUGAUCUGUAUGAAGGGACUCGACUCUCCAUUUUCCCUCAGAUUGUCUUUGUCUAUACUCGCUGGUUGUCCUCUGCAGAGCCAGAGUAGGGCUCUGUAAGGAACAGAGACUGGCCAGAGGGAAUGAGCCAGAGGGUGGUACAGAAGCCAAAAGCCCGAAUCAAGCGAACUUUGGGACAAACUAAAGACAGCCCCUCCAGAUUUUCUACACUUCUGGAAGUUCUGGACUCCCUAGACAGCAUCAGGCUGUAAUGAAUAGGAAUGUCUCAUACUGAAUAUUUUCCUCUUAUUUCUGAGAAGAAAAAAAAACUGUUAACAAUAAACCUUUUUCCUUUGAACUGUGCUCUUUGCUUUACAAUUAUCCUAGAGCUGUGAGUCCUUGUCUUUCUGACCUAACCAACAAGAUUGUCUUGGGACCUCCCUAGCAAUGCACAGUUUUAAAUUUUCCAAGUUGUGAAUAUUAAAAAUACCACUACUCUCUAGCAUCAUUUUCAUUUCAUUAAAAAUAAAAGGAUAUUUUAAUGUCUCUCUAAAAGGUAAAGAAUGGACAUACUCUAAGAAUAAAGAAGAGUUGUUUUAGUAAGUUUAGUUCUAUGGAAAACUCAUCAUGACUACUUUUUAUGUUUUGGUUUGUUUUGGUUUAUAGUUUGUUUUUUAAUUUCACCACUGUCUAGCCUAACUUUCAGGAAUUAUUGCUUUGGAGUAUAAUUUGUCUAGGCCAAAUUAUCAGGAAAUAGUGUGCAAGCCUGUGGUGGCCAUAAAAGUGUGCCACUCACAUCUCUUGCUAUAGGAAUGUGACUGGCAGGUUCAGCCAUGGCCCUGUGCACCCACAGUCAGGCUGCACUUCCCACUGGCUGUCCCCAGCCCCUGACUGCAUGUAGCGGGAGGAAUAAGACACAAGGCCCCUCUGAUGAGCAGCUGACUGCAGGGCUCCCCAGCGGCUGGCCAAAACCUUCCUAGGACUGAGCUGCAGGCCAAGACUUUUCCUGCUCCUCUUUUUCACAGGGGUCAGACUUGAAUCUCAGGCUCAGGGUUCUCCAUCCCUGCUUCAACUCUUUCCCUUUUUCCCCUUGUAGGCAUUUCCCCCAUCUCUUAUAAGUUGAAUCUAUCUAGGUGGCUGCUGCUCCAAGACCUGAACAAACACAAAGUCCUUUCCCAUCCAGUAUUUCAUUUACUUGGGCUUCACACUGCCACUGGGAAAGUUCAAGGAUAUAUAUAUACCACAAACAGGAGAUUUCAGCAAAUAUAAUCCAUACCAAAGCUAGGACUGGAAGCUAGACAUUCCAACGCUCUUUCUAAGACCUCAGCUUCCAAUUAUACCACAAAUUUCUCCUGAAGGAAUCACUUCUCAAUGCAAAGUAUCCUGUGGGAAAAAAACAUACCUAGUUUAUAAGUACUCGAGUGAAUUUUCCAAUGACAAUUUCCAAGUGAUUGUUUCAUCUCUCCAGGUUGGUGGUUUUCAAAUGUCUUUAAGCUGUUGACUCCUUUCUUCAAGUUACAUCCUUAUGGACGAUCAGCAGGUCACAGCAGAGGCAGAAUUGACCCACAGCUGAGGUGGUUGGUGAAGGGGAGAUCUAGACCUGCUGCCAACCGCUGGCCUCCUGUUUUCUCACCCCUCUCAGUGCUACUGAGAUGCCCUUUCCAAGAAUCCCUGAGCUCAACUAAGCAUGGUGAUAAAAAUCCCUGCUCAAACCAUUGAUUUGUAAAUAGUAUUUCACAGAGACCUGCUCAGUGAAAUCUCACCAGGAGAAUGAGGGUCAAGCUACGGGCUUCUGCCUCCCAGGCUAUUUCAGAGAGGGCCUCCUGGCUUUUAUCUGUAAGGGUAUGAUUCCUCACCAGAUUUCCCUUGAAGAAAGUGUCCUAUAGUUUAAAAAAUGUUUGAAAAGCUCCAGCUCCAGGACACUGUUACAGAAUGGACCUUACACAAAAUGCUUUCUUUUUUCCUUACAUUGCAGCCACAUCUACAAGUAUCUGAAACAAAUGGACUAGAGCACAAUCUCAGCCAUUUGACUCAUCCCACGGUGGUUCUGCAGAACUCCCAGGGAAUUAUCCAUUUCAACUCUUUUAUCACAUAUUAAUUCAUCCAGCUAUUCAAGGAAUAUAUGGUCAGCAUCUAAAGUCAUAUUCUUUCAAGAGAAGGAAAUAUAUAAAUAAAUGCCAACCAGUGUGAUCCCAAUUCAAGAAAAGCCCAAAAGAAGUGUCCCUGUCUACUAGGGAGGUUGGGAGGUGGGGGCAGCCAGGAGACUUGACGUAGAAAAGAGACCCAAAAAGAGUCAGGUAUUAGGCCAGGUUCAGUGGCUCAUGCCUAUGAUCCCAGCACUCUGGGAGGCUGAGGCAGGAAGACAGGACCACUUGAGCCCAGGCGUUCAAAACUAGCCUGGGCAACAUGGCGAAACCCAAUCUCCACAAAAAAAUAAAAAGUAAAGAGUCAGGUAAUAGACCCUGGGUGUUUGCUCCUCCUAUUUUCUGCCAGGCAUUUCUGCCUCAAAUGCCUUAUGUCUCAGAACUCCUUCCUGCCUCACCCUGUGAGAUACAGACUAUUGUCACCCCCCAUUUUAGAGAUGAGGAAACCCAGGCACAGUGACAUCAGGUUAAGUGCCAUGUCUGAGGUAACAGAUCAAUAAAAGGCAGAACCAGGAAUACACUCUCCUGUGUCCAUCCUCUUAGCCCCCACACAUCCUGCUCAUGACCAACAAGGCAGGAUUGAAUCAAGGUGCUCUGAUUCUCAGACUAGCAUUAAAUUCUAACCCCCAAGACCCUAGAAUGGUCUGUCAGAGGCUGAUGACUCACAAAGUAGCAUCUUUUUAAAAAGGCGAGGCAUUCACUAGAAUAGCAACUUCGGGCUUCAUGUUUAGAAGUGCUGGGGCUGGGGGUAGCGGAAAUGUGAUAAAUAUAAGGCUGAACUUCCAUUAAACAAAAAUGUACUGUGAGAAAAAGCUUGGUGUGUUUGGGUGAACAGUGAGUUUCUACCACAUGCAAGGGAUAAUAAUCAUCAGGUUUUCAAAAUACUCAACCAGGCUCUGCUGGCUUCUCUAAGGUAGAAAUGCACAGACAGAUAAAAGACUGUUCAGGUUUUAUUUUAAUCUUUCCCUCCCUGCUUGUGGUCUUAAAAGUCUUAGUAUUGAAAGCAAAUGAUACAGCUACCUCCUCCUUCCCGAGGCAGGAAUUUGCAUUUUAAUUUUGGAUCCUCUAGGAAAAGAUCAAAUGAAAUGCUUUAUUUACUUUUUGGGGACUUGUUUUUCUUCUUUCCAGGAAUAAAGCCUAUUGCUUACUGAGUUGUAGACUAAAUACCAUGAGUCCCAAGAAAGAGAUGGUUACACAUACACAGUUAAUGUGUUUGUGCUUCACUAACGAGGAAGGAGCCUCGCUUUGGGGGCGCUCCAGAGUGGAAUAGAGCAUAGUAAUUCGACUUACCUUGAACUAAACUUCAAAUCAAUUUUUUCAUUACGUUUUUCUUUCUGCUGGUUAGACAGCAUAAUCUCAAUUGAGCUGUCUUCAAGUUUGCUGAUUCUUGCUUCUGCCAACUCAAAUCUGCUGUUAAACUUCUGUAGUGAAUGUUUUUUAUGAGUUAUUGUACUUUUCAACUCCAAAAUUCCAAAUUAUUUUUUAUUAUUUCUAU